AGGGAUAUUACAGAGUUUACAACUCCCAAACCCAAAUGUGAACAUACCAAUCGUUGCUUCGGCGGACUCGUCCCGGCGUCCGGGUGGCCUUGCGCUGCCCGCGGCCCGGAUCCAGGCGGCCGCCGGAGGCCAUCAAACUCUUUGUAUUACCAGUAUCUUCUGAAUCCGCCGCAAGGCAAAACAAAUGAAUCAAAACUUUCAACAACGGAUCUCUUGGUUCUGGCAUCGAUGAAGAACGCAGCGAAAUGCGAUAAGUAAUGUGAAUUGCAGAAUUCAGUGAAUCAUCGAAUCUUUGAACGCACAUUGCGCCCGCCAGCAUUCUGGCGGGCAUGCCUGGUUCGAGCGUCAUUUCAACCCUCGAGCUCCCUUUGGGGAGCCCGGCGUUGGGGACCGGCCUCUACCGCCGCCCCCGAAAUACAGUGGCGGCCCCGUCACGGCGACCUCUGCGUAGUAACUCAACCUCGCACCGGAAACCCGACGUGGCCACGCCGUAAAACACCCCACUUCUGAACGUUGACCUCGGAUCAGGUAGGAAUACCCGGCUGAAAUUAAGCAUAUC
rnacentral:rRNA from 1 species